rnacentral:rRNA from 1 species
ACCAGACUCCUACGGGAGGCAGCAGUGGGGCCUCUUGGGCAAUGUCUGCCCCUCUUACCCCGCCCUGCCGCGUGCCUGAAGAAGGUCUUCGGCUUGUAAAGUUCUUUAAUUGGGGACGAAAAAAAUGACGGUCCCCAAGGAAUACGCCCCGGCUAACUACGUGCCAGCAGCCGCGGUAAUACGUAGGGGGCAAGCGUUGUUCGGAAUGACUGGGCGGAAAGGGUGCGGAGGCGGUGUAGCAAGUUAGAAGUGAAAGACCUAGAGCUGAACUCAGGUGCUGCUGCUAAAACUGCUAUACUUGAGGGCAGUAGAGGAAAGGGGAAUUCCUAGGGGAGCGGUGGAAGGCGGAGAUAUUAGGAGGAACAUCAGUGGCGAAGGCGACUUUCGGGACGGUAACUGACGCUGAGGCACGAAAGGGUGGGGAGCAAACAGGAUUAGAUACCCGAGUA